GACCCCGCUAUUACGCCGUGAAGUAUCUCAAGGGAAAUGGAUUGGUGAAGCGCGACCCAGGCUGCAAUACAGUUGCCAAGCUCACCGAGAAGGUAUUUUGUGAAUGGGACAGUCUCAUAUGCGUUUGGUGAAAAGAAAAGGUCCAGCAAGGUCUUUGGGUCGAUGGUAACUAUGAUGCAGAGAAACUGUUCUUUGUUAAUAUGCAAACGCUACAAUAUCCAACAUCUACAAGAUUGCAUAUCCCUUCCUCCAAAGAGGUUGUUUGCCUACGGAAAUCUGAAAGGGCAACAAGGAGGGAUUGCUUGUUCAGGUUGUCUCGUUUAACUGCACUGCCAAAAUUGUACGAGUAGGACCUGCAGAAGUUGGUGAAGUUGGGAGCUGCGAAAAGAGUGAUCUGAUGUCUGAAGAACUCUAGCGUCUUCCUGUGGCCGAGCUCCAGAUAAUG